rnacentral:rRNA from 1 species
GGGUUGUGAGGUUAAGCGACUAAGCGUACACGGUGGAUGCCCUGGCAGUCAGAGGCGAUGAAGGGCGUGCUAAUCUGCGAUAAGCGCCGGUAAGGUGAUAUGAACCGUUAUAACCGGCGAUACCCGAAUGGGGAAACCCAGUGUGAUUCGUCACACUAUCAUUAACUGAAUCCAUAGGUUAAUGAGGCGAACCGGGGGAACUGAAACAUCUAAGUACCCCGAGGAAAAGAAAUCAACCGAGAUUCCCCCAGUAGCGGCGAGCGAACGGGGAGGAGCCCAGAGCCUGAAUCAGCAUGUGUGUUAGUGGAAGCGUCUGGAAAGGCGCGCGAUACAGGGUGACAGCCCCGUACACAAAAGCGCAUGUGCUGUGAGCUCGAUGAGUAGGGCGGGACACGUGGUAUCCUGUCUGAAUAUGGGGGGACCAUCCUCCAAGGCUAAAUACUCCUGACUGACCGAUAGUGAACCAGUACCGUGAGGGAAAGGCGAAAAGAACCCCGGCGAGGGGAGUGAAAAAGAACCUGAAACCGUGUACGUACAAGCAGUGGGAGCACAGGUUUACCUGUGUGACUGCGUACCUUUUGUAUAAUGGGUCAGCGACUUAUAUUCUGUAGCAAGGUUAACCGUAUAGGGGAGCCGAAGGGAAACCGAGUCUUAACCGGGCGUUAAGUUGCAGGGUAUAGACCCGAAACCCGGUGAUCUAGCCAUGGGCAGGUUGAAGGUUGGGUAACACUAACUGGAGGACCGAACCGACUAAUGUUGAAAAAUUAGCGGAUGACCUGUGGCUGGGGGUGAAAGGCCAAUCAAACCGGGAGAUAGCUGGUUCUCCCCGAAAGCUAUUUAGGUAGCGCCUCGUGAAUUCAUCUCCGGGGGUAGAGCACUGUUUCGGCUAGGGGGCCAUCCCGGCUUACCAACCCGAUGCAAACUGCGAAUACCGGAGAAUGUUAUCACGGGAGACACACGGCGGGUGCUAACGUCCGUCGUGAAGAGGGAAACAACCCAGACCGCCAGCUAAGGUCCCAAAGUCAUGGUUAAGUGGGAAACGAUGUGGGAAGGCCCAGACAGCCAGGAUGUUGGCUUAGAAGCAGCCAUCAUUUAAAGAAAGCGUAAUAGCUCACUGGUCGAGUCGGCCUGCGCGGAAGAUGUAACGGGGCUAAACCAUGCACCGAAGCUGCGGCAGCGA